rnacentral:rRNA from 1 species
CUGGUGGCGAGUGGCGAACGGGUGAGUAAUAUAUCGGAACGUCGCCCGGUCGGUGGGGGAUAACGUAGCGAAAGUUACGCUAAUACCGCAUACGAUCUAAGGAUGAAAGCGGGGGAUCGCAAGACCUCGCGCGAUUGGAGCGGCCGAUAUCAGAUUAGGUAGUUGGUGAGGUAAAGGGCUCACCAAGCCGACGAUCUGUAGCUGGUCUGAGAGGACGACCAGCCACACUGGGACUGAGACACGGCCCAGACUCCUACGGGAGGCAGCAGUGGGGGAAUUUUGGACAAUGGGCGAAAGCCUGAUCCAGCAAUGCCGCGUGAGUGAUGAAGGCCUUAGGGUUGUAAAGCUCUUUUACCCGGGAUGAUAAUGACAGUACCGGGAGAAUAAGCUCCGGCUAACUCCGUG